CAAGUCCCACCCGGGCAAGGCUGGUCACCACCCGGAAGCGAGUCUUGGACUGUCCAGCGGCGACGUUGGCGGUUAAGCGUAGACAGCGAGUCAGUAGGCCGCGGUGAUAGAGCACCGAAAAGACCCUCUCUGUGGGUGCCGACGUCUUUAAGGCCGCGGAAGGCAACACCAGUAUCCCGAGCGGACCGGGGAUACUGGCCCACCGGUGUCGAAGAGCC
rnacentral:ncRNA from 1 species